UGCCCUUGCACUGGUUACCAGUGUUUUUGUAGCACAACAAGUGCACGUGAUGAGUUCGCAAAUCAAAUGCCCACCUGUGGUGACACUGGACAGUUUAAAACGAGUUGGAAUCAACAUGUAGUACCUCCAGCAGGCAGAGAGUUAAGAACCAUUCGUCCGCCAGCUCAGAAACAAGCUACACUGAUAACAUCCCUGUGUAAUGUUCAAUGUAAUUGCAUUGCUGGACUUUUUUAAACUGAAUGUAUUUGUAUUGUUUUAAGAAUGUUAAAAUAAAAGGACGUGUUAGUUAUUAGUUAUAAUUCCCUGAGUGUUAAUACAUUUGUUUUUACAUCAUUAAGCCUUUAUGUGUAAUGAAUGACCAAAGGUGUCUGACUUUAUAGUAAGUACAGAGUCAUAUGAUAUAAGGCAUUUAUGUAUGUGUUAUAAAAUACCAAAGGGGUCUGACUUUAAAGUAAGUGCAGCGUCAUGUGAUGUAGAGUGUUUAUGGAUGUGUUAUGAAUUAUCAAAUGUGUCUCACUUCAAAUGAAGUGUUACAGGUCACUACAUGAAGUGUCAACGAAUAGGUUAUUGACGUUCUACUGAUUUAUGAAGGUCCUCUCAUCAUACACAGGUUACUGUAGGGUGGUAACGAGAUUAGUAACGUGUAACGUCAUGACUUUACUUUAGAGCGCGUGCCAUCCUUCAGCCCAACAUGUCACCCUUUAUAAAGCACAUGUUUAUAUCAUAUUCGGCAUAGUGGGUUAUGUCACAUUUGACAUUGGUGUUUAUGUCACACAGUUACGAACCCUUUAAAAAGCAUGACAUAUGGUUAUAGAUGCUUUGUAGCUCAUUUAUGUAGUGCUUUUGAAGGCUUUCUAACCUGAACGUAAUUUAAAGCGGGACCAAACAUUUGAUUUUGAAACACUUCAGGUGUUCACGUGAAAUUCAUGCGGUUUUCUGUAAGGGGUAUAUCAGCCUUCAUAUUGGUAUUUGAACCUCAUUACGAUCUUACGAACAGACUGCAGAGUUCUGUACUUGUUCGUUAUGUGCUCU
rnacentral:lncRNA from 1 species